UACGUAGGGCGCAAGCGUUAUCCGGAAUUAUUGGGCGUAAAGAGCUCGUAGGCGGUUUGUUGCGUCUGCCGUGAAAGUCCGGGGCUCAACUCCGGAUCUGCGGUGGGUACGGGCAGACUAGAGUGAUGUAGGGGAGACUGGAAUUCCUGGUGUAGCGGUGAAAUGCGCAGAUAUCAGGAGGAACACCGAUGGCGAAGGCAGGUCUCUGGGCAUUAACUGACGCUGAGGCGCGAAAGCAUGGGGAGCGAACAGG
rnacentral:rRNA from 1 species